UUUGAGGUCUACCCUGAUGGGGCUUUUUCCGUAGACCUACUUUGUUGGAAAUGGCUCAUAGAGUAACUACAUGUUUUCUUUACUCACAGAACUACAUGUUAGAUCUGUGGGAAAGGACUACAAGACAGAG
ensembl:snoRNA